UACGUAGGGACCAAGCGUUGUUCGGAUUUACUGGGCGUAAAGGGCGCGUAGGCGGCGUGUUAAGUCACUUGUGAAAUCUCCGGGCUUAACCCGGAGCGGCCAAGUGAUACUGUCGUGCUAGAGUGCGGAAGGGGCUACUGGAAUUCUCGGUGUAGCGGUGAAAUGCGUAGAUAUCGAGAGGAACACCUGCGGCGAAGGCGGGUAGCUGGGCCGACACUGACGCUGAGGCGCGAAAGCUAGGGGAGCGAACGGG
rnacentral:rRNA from 1 species